rnacentral:rRNA from 1 species
GACGAACGCUGGCGGCGUGCCUAACACAUGCAAGUCGAGCGAAUGAAGUUCCUUCGGGAAUGGAUUUAGCGGCGGACGGGUGAGUAACACGUGGGCAACCUGCCUCAUAGAGGGGAAUAGCCUCCCGAAAGGGAGAUUAAUACCGCAUAAGAUUGUAGUACCGCAUGAUGCAGCAAUUAAAGGAGCAAUCCGCUAUGAGAUGGGCCCGCGGCGCAUUAGCUAGUUGGUGAGGUAAUGGCUCACCAAGGCGACGAUGCGUAGCCGACCUGAGAGGGUGAUCGGCCACAUUGGGACUGAGACACGGCCUAGACGCCUACGGGAGGCAGCAGUGUGUAAUAUUGCACCAUCGUGGAAACACUGAUGCAGCAGCGCCGCGUGAGAGAUGACGGCCUUCGGGUAGUAACGCUCUGUCUUCAGGUACGAUAAUGACGGUACCUGAGGAGGAAGCCACGGCUAACUACGUG